GGCGCGUUGGUCAAGAGGUUAAGACACCGCCCUUUCACGGCGGUAACAUGGGUUCGAUUCCCAUACGCGUCACCA
rnacentral:tRNA from 1 species